UGAACGCUGGCGGCGUGCCUAAUACAUGCAAGUCGAGCGAACAGACGAGGAGCUUGCUCCUCUGACGUUAGCGGCGGACGGGUGAGUAACACGUGGAUAACCUACCUAUAAGACUGGGAUAACUUCGGGAAACCGGAGCUAAUACCGGAUAAUAUAUUUAACCGCAUGGUUCAAUAGUGAAAGACGGUUUUGCUGUCACUUAUAGAUGGAUCCGCGCCGCAUUAGCUAGUUGGUAAGGUAACGGCUUACCAAGGCAACGAUGCGUAGCCGACCUGAGAGGGUGAUCGGCCACACUGGAACUGAGACACGGUCCAGACUCCUACGGGAGGCAGCAGUAGGGAAUCUUCCGCAAUGGGCGAAAGCCUGACGGAGCAACGCCGCGUGAGUGAUGAAGGUCUUCGGAUCGUAAAACUCUGUUAUUAGGGAAGAACAAAUGUGUAAGUAACUAUGCACGUCUUGACGGUACCUAAUCAGAAAGCCACGGCUAACUACGUG
rnacentral:rRNA from 1 species